ensembl:lncRNA
GCCACAGCAGCAGCUGGAAGCAGUGAGCCCUGCCCCCAACUCUCCCCACCUCCAGCCUCACACCUGCUUCCCGUUGCUCAAUUACUCUCAGCUGCCAGCAGUCAGAGCUGCACGCUUUGGAGCGGAGCCCUGGAGGGCUUGGGGGCCCUUGGGAGCUUUUGGCGGAGAUUUAUAGCCAAGGGGAGAAUUGAUGUGCCUGCCUGUGGGGGAGGGCUGCAGGCCAAGAAAACUUAACACCAGGGGUGUCUAUGUGGUCUCACCUUAAAGGGCGAGUGAUGAUGCCGUGAGCCCAAGGAGCUGUGAGAACCCCGUGAAGGGGCUUUUAGGAAGUGAGCGAUACCAGCCCAGACUGCCUCCCGAAGACCUGGACAAAGAUGCCCUCAAAGCCGUGGGGAAGCUUUCCAGGAACAGGCAGACCAAGGAGAAGGACCAAAGAUCCUGGAGGAAACAGCAGCAGUUCCCGCACAGGAAUUGAGCUCCUGUGACCGUCAGUGUUGAAAAGCUCCUGGCAGGCUCCUUACAGCCCUGGACAAGCUUGGCUGUAUCACCACACACAGACCCUCAGCAGCACCGUCACUGUCUCCCAAUCUCCUUACAGAUGUUCCUCCGAGAGCUUUUGCAGUCCUAAGCCCUGUCUCCACCUGUGCCACCAGCAUCGGCAUCCUCUCCUCGUCACCCUCAACUUCCCUGAUUCCUCCUCAUUCCGGUUCUUCACAUCACCCUCACGGAGAGGAAACAACAGCAGCAUUCCUGGCGUUCUCACCAUGUCCCCUCUUUUUAGUGCUUUUCCUCACUCACUCACACCCACCCUAGGUUGUGUCCCCAUUGUACAGAUGAAAAAACUGAGGCACAGAGAGGUAAGGUGAGGGGAGGAGCCAAACAGGGCGGGUGUGCUCAGGUCCUGGGCCACCUGCCUCCCAGCAUCAGAGCAAAAAAAGGAGGGAUGCGCCUGCAGAUUGGAAACCCGAUGGUCUCUCCCUGAGGUCAGGAAGCAGGUGCUGUCCACUGAGCUGUCUCCCCAGUCCAACGUCCCCCCUCCUCCUGAGGACAGGGCCCUGUCUGUCUAGUUCACCACCUGAAGCCACGCUGGCCCAUCCAUGGCAGGGGCUCAGAAAGGAAAGGCUAAAUUGAAAGAGCACAUCCUUGCGUGCAUGACAGCAGGGACCGCCAAGCGUCGCAAGGGUGGGUGAAAGCCACGCAGCUUCAGAGUGGGCUGGGGAG